rnacentral:rRNA from 1 species
CCUACGGGCGGCAGCAGUAGGGAAUAUUGCUCAAUGGGGGAAACCCUGAAGCAGCAACGCCGCGUGGAGGAUGAAGGUUUUAGGAUUGUAAACUCCUUUUGUGAGAGCAGAAAAUGAUGGUAUCUCAAGCAUAAGCACCGGCUCACUACGUGCCAGCAGCCGCGGUAAUACGAAGGGUGCAAGCGUUACACGGAAUCACUGGGCGUAAAGAGUGCGCAGGCGGGCUUGUAAGUCAGAUGUGAAAUCUUGUGGCGUAACUACAGAACUGCAUUUGAUACUAUGAGCCUAGAGUGUGGGAGAGGUAGGUGGAAUUCGUGGUGUAGGGGUAAAAUCCUUAGAUAUCAAGAGGAAUACUCAUUGCGAAGGCGACCUGCUGGAACGUUACUGACGCUCAUGCACGAAAGCGUGGGGAGCAAACAGGAUUAGAUACCCGUGUAGUC